rnacentral:tRNA from 1 species
ACCAAUAUAGUUUAAUAAAAACAGCAAUUUUGUAAAUUGAAAUUAUUUGCCCUAUUGUUGGUA